ACAAACAGAAACACCCAGAACACACCCAGUCUUGUUUGCUCUCAGAAGCUAAGCAAGGUCAGGCCUGGUUAGUACUUGGAUGGGGAUAGGAGACUGCCAAGACAUAGUAUCUU
rnacentral:rRNA from 1 species